GGAUGCGAGUGCAAUCUGGCUGCAACGUGGAUCAACCAAUUGAACACGAGGGUUGAUUCAGCUGGUCCACCUGUAUAGGUGGGUGUCCCCUUCCUUUCUCAUAUCUCCAUAUGCAACUCUCGCUCUCAAAGCUGUACAUACAGCCAAGGAGUACCACCUUCUCAGCAUAGAAACAGCCAGUAAAAGGUAUAUGAGUCACUGUGCUCCGUGCUUGAAACUCCAAACAAGCUCCUAAGAAGCUCCAGGAUGUAUUAUGUUACUUAGGAUGCAGUAAGUGAUCGAUAAACAUUUGCUAAAUUAACAAAUCAAUGAAUGUGACCAUAUUAUUGU
rnacentral:snRNA from 1 species